UCCGGCUCCCGCGCGGGGCGAGGACGCAUCCGCCUUUCGGGAGGGAGCCUGCCUCAGCGCUCGUAUAUGGCAAAGUUUCUCGCCGAGCUCCUGGGCUGCACGUUGCCGAGCAAGGGCGCCUCUCCCAUGUUUGAGUCCAAAAGUCACUCCCGAGUUGGCCUGAAAUCAAGCACGAAGCAAAAGACCACCAUUUUCAGCACAUUGGCCAGUGAAAAGUCCUUAUCUGACUGCAAAAAGGAUGGUUUGAUGGGGUGAGCUCUUAAAAGAAACCGGAUUGUAGUAUUUGAAGAACAGCUAGUGUGUAAGAGUAGAACCUAAAACUGAAACAAAGAUUCUGCCACAUCAAGAGUCACUAACAAUAAGUAACAACUCAGCAGAGCUGUUUGGCUGGUGAGGAAACUGAGUCACAGAGAGGAAACUGAUAAAGGAAGAAAAAGGCCACCUGACACCCAAUAGGGCAAGAGAACAUAGUCCCGCCAUUGUUAAAAUAAGCUGCAAGUGACAAUAACCGACAGGUAGAGAUGAAAGGUAAGAAGGGCAUCCGGGAAAAACAAGCAAGAAACUGGAGAAACAACCUUUUUAAGGGGGAAGAAAAGACUAGUCUUGAAGAAAGGUAAGAACUAGGCUGAAAGUCUAUAAAAUUAGACCGAUAUUUGCUCAGUAAAGGGACUUGAAAGCUAAAGGACAAUCUCUAAAUCUUGAAAAGAAAACACAUCUGGUCAUGCUCAAGUCAGCCCAAUAAUUACCAACCUUGAAGAGGCAUUGAGAAAAAGGGAGCGCAGGAGAGGGGGAGAGAGCACAACCCUCAGGGCAAUGAUGGGGCGCAGGAAGCUGAAGAGCUGUGCUGUUGCCUGUCCGGUGCUGGCCAUCUGUCAUGGUCCUUAAACCCUCAAGGCUUUGGCUCCCACACCCCAAAACUCUCUCAUCUUCUGUGGGGUCCAUGGAGAGAAGUUAACCAGGCUCCCACUCCCCUGGCAAGCAGUCUGUUGUUACAUAUAUGUUCACAUGGAGGCCCUGUCUUCUAUGAGAAGCUGUUAUUUAUGUAUGCCUAUGUAAGCUGAAUCAGCUUAACCAACCUACUAGAGGUCCAAGGCCAUUCCUAGAAGGUGUCUUUCUCUGUCCCUGCCCUCACCUGGCCUCUUCCCUGCUUUCUGCUGUCACCUUCGAGGCAGGUCCCCUAUCUUGAAUCUUAUGAACAGAAACGGUCCACAUACAAGGGCUCUCUUUGCCUCACGAUUCUCAACAAGAGACACUGUUGCCAAGAACUGGGCCAACAAAAAUACAAAGACGUUUUUCAACCAGGCAAAAAUAUGCAAACAAACUGGUUU